AUUGAACGCUGGCGGCAUGCCUUACACAUGCAAGUCGAACGGCAGCACGGGUGCUUGCACCUGGUGGCGAGUGGCGAACGGGUGAGUAAUACAUCGGAACGUGUCCUGUAGUGGGGGAUAGCCCGGCGAAAGCCGGAUUAAUACCGCAUACGAUCUACGGAUGAAAGCGGGGGAUCUUCGGACCUCGCGCUAUAGGGGCGGCCGAUGGCGGAUUAGCUAGUUGGUGAGGUAAAGGCUCACCAAGGCGACGAUCCGUAGCUGGUCUGAGAGGACGACCAGCCACACUGGGACUGAGACACGGCCCAGACUCCUACGGGAGGCAGCAGUGGGGAAUUUUGGACAAUGGGCGAAAGCCUGAUCCAGCAAUGCCGCGUGUGUGAAGAAGGCCUUCGGGUUGUAAAGCACUUUUGUCCGGAAAGAAAUCCCUGGUCCUAAUAUGGCCGGGGGAUGACGGUACCGGAAGAAUAAGCACCGGCUAACUACGUGCCAGCAGCCGCGGUAAUACGUAGGGUGCAAGCGUUAAUCGGAAUUACUGGGCGUAAAGCGUGCGCAGGCGGUGAUGUAAGACCGAUGUGAAAUCCCCGGGCUCAACCUGGGAACUGCAUUGGUGACUGCAUCGCUUGAGUAUGGCAGAGGGGGGUAGAAUUCCACGUGUAGCAGUGAAAUGCGUAGAGAUGUGGAGGAAUACCGAUGGCGAAGGCAGCCCCCUGGGUCAAUACUGACGCUCAUGCACGAAAGCGUGGGGAGCAAACAGG
rnacentral:rRNA from 1 species